rnacentral:rRNA from 1 species
AUUGAACGCUGGCGGCAGGCCUAACACAUGCAAGUCGAACGAGCGGCGGACGGGUGAGUAAUGUAUGGGAAACUGCCCGAUGGAGGGGGAUAACUACUGGAAACGGUAGCUAAUACCGCAUACCAUCGGAUGUGCCCAGAUGGGAUUAGCUAGUAGGUGGGGUAAAGGCUCACCUAGGCGACGAUCCCUAGCUGGUCUGAGAGGAUGACCAGCCACACUGGAACUGAGACACGGGCCAGACUCCUACGGGAGGCAGCAGUGGGGAAUAUUGCACAAUGGGCGCAAGCCUGAUGCAGCCAUGCCGCGUGUAUGAAGAAGGCCUUCGGGUUGUAAAGUACUUUCAGCGGGGAGGCGUUACCCGCAGAAGAAGCACCGGCUAACUCCGUGCCAGCAGCCGCGGUAAUAC